AGUUUAUCACCUUGUUUGUGCUUUCUCACUACCCCAAUUUACUUUUUCAUUGAUUUUGUUUGAGAAGAAAGAAAAUGUUGGCAAUUUUCAAGAAAAGUGUGGUUGAUCCACCAAAGGAGCUGCAGAGCCCAGCCUCUUUGCAAUCAUCAAACAAGGCUGUUUCCCCUGAAGAGACUAUGAAGAAUUUCUUAGCUUCAAAUUCCAACAAUGGGUUUUCCAUUGGAUUCAUGGACAAGGCAUUCUUGGCCUAUUCCAAACCUCCAUCCUCAUCAAAUGCUCAACAAAGGUUGUUCUGUGGGUUGAAUGACAUAUACUGCAUUUUCUUGGGAAGCUUGAACAACUUAUGGGCACUAAACAAGCAGUAUGGUCUGUCAAAGGGUACCAAUGAGGCCAUGCUUGUGAGUGAAGCAUAUCGCACCCUCCGUGACAGAGGCCCAUUCCCAGCUCAUGAGGUCCUCAAGGGACUUGAGGGUAGCUUUGGCUUUGUGAUCUAUGAUCAUAAGGCUGGUAAUGUCUUUGUUGCCCUUGGUGCUGAUGAAACUGCAAAGAUGUUCUGGGGAAUAGCAUCUGAUGGAUCUGUCAUGAUCUCUGAUAGUGUGGAUCAUAUCAAAGGAAGCUGUCUCAAAUCAUUUGCUCCCUUCCCAAGUGGGUGCAUGUACCACAGUGAAAGUGGAUUGAAGAGCUUUGAGCAUCCAAGUUACAAGAUGAAAGCAAUGCCAAGAGUGGAUAGUGAAGGAGCCAUGUGUGGAGCUUGCUUCAAAGUUGAUGUCUACUCCAAGGUGAAUAGCAUGCCAAGAGUUGGAAGUUCUGCCAACUGGGCUAAUUGGGGCCAGCAGGCUUAGGUUCAUUUGGACCUCAUUUUAACUAACUACAAUAUAAAGAAGAAAAGAAAAAACUUACAAAGGAGGAUGCACAGAAAGCUGAACAGGUCAUCUCAUCUAUGUCAUCAGAUGAGUUGGAAAGAAUGGUGAGAUGGGCAGCAAGGAUUCAAACAGGAAUACAAGUUCUCAAGAUUACCAAAGAUUUUGUCAUGGCAAAUCCUGGCAUGAGCUUGGCACUUUUUGUGCCCAUUUUAGCAGUCUUCCUUCACCUGUUUGGCUACAUCUGAGCUUUUUCUGUUCUUUUAUAUUUUCUUG